UUUUUGAAUUGCUUAUUUCUAGGUUUUUUUUUUUAGUUUAAUUUUAUUUUUACCUUGCAGCUUCAGCUCAAGAAUAGUACGAUGUCUGUGAGGUCCGUUCACGUGGUUGCGGGUUUCAGUGGUGCAUUCUUUGAAACUGUUGAGUAGCUUUCCAUUGCAUGGACGUGCCUCUAUCUGUUAAUCCAUUUACCAGUUGGAGAACAUCCGGAUUUUUCUGGUUUGGAGCUAUUAGAAUAAAACUGCUAUAAACAUUCAUGUGCACAUCUUUUUGGUGACCACAUAUUUUCAUUUAUCUUGGGUAAAAAACCUAAGGGUGGAAUGGCUGGUUCAUACGUCUCAUAAGAAACUCCAAACUGUUUUCCAAGGUGGCUGCACCAUCUAACAUUUCCAUCAACCAUAUAUUAGAGUCCAGAGUCUCCACAUCCUUGACAAGACUUGGUAUUGUCAGCUUUUAAACUUGAGCCACUGUAGUGCAGUACUAUCUCACGGAAAUUUUAAUUUUCAUUUCCCAAUGACUAAUGAUGUUGAACAUCCUUUUAUGAGCGUAUCAGGUAAUGCAUUUUUAUUAGUCUGGCUAAUGUGAUAAAGAACCUGCUCAGGGGAGGUGCUUGCUCUGUCUCUUGCUUCCUCUGCAGCCUCCCUGUGUCCAAGAAGUUUUUAAGAUGUAAACUUUUUAUGCACAAGAAUCCUGUCUUAAUAGUUAUCGCAUCUCUAGCACAGUUUCUGACACACUGAAGGUACUCAGUAAGUCUACUGAAAAAAGAUGAGCAAACAGAUUCCAGUUAAUUCUAGGAUGUAAUCUGAUGACAUACUUGGGACCUACUAAAGAGUGUGAAGCAGCAGCUUUCUCUAACUGAAUGGCCCAAGACUACUAUUUUUUAAAAUAGCUAUGAUUAAACUGUCUCUCCUUUCACAUCAAAUCUUCAGCUUCUCCCUGCCUGUAGAUGACCCACCUUCCAAACCGGUGAUUUGAAUCUACUGUAGGCUUGUUUGGGAAGCUGACAAAGAAGUUUGUUUUGACUUCUAAAUUUACAACUGUAUAAAUACAGUCAUGCAUCACUUAAUGAUGAAGAUAUGUUCUGAAAAAUGCACCUUUUGAUAAUUUCAUGGUUGUCGAACAUCAUACAGCGUACUUACACAAACCUAGACAGUAUAGCCUACUACACACCUAGGCUAUGAGGAAUAGCCUAUUGCCCCUAGGCUACAAACCUGUAGAGCACGACACUGCAGUGAAUACUCCAGGCAACUGGAACACCAUGGCAAGUAUUUUGUGUAUCUAAGUGUAUCUCAACAUAGAAAAGAUAAUGCAUUACGCUAUGACAUUACAACAGCUGUGAGGUCACUAGGUGAUGAGGUUUUCUCAGCUCCAUUAUAAUCUUAUGGGACCAUCAUUGCAUAAGUGGUCCAUCAUUGACAAAAUGUUGGUACACGACACAUGACAAUAAAAGCAAAUAGGCCUGUGUGAUGACCUUAAAGACUUUAAAAGAUGAUUGUACAGGAAAUUCCUACAGAAUGUCUCUUCCCCACCAACAGCUAAGGCUUCACAUGUUGCAACAAGUGACUCUGGUCCAGGCAGCAAUUUAACCUUAAGGUUCAAUGCAGACUUGGGCUUUGAGAAGAGACACCAAGAAAGAGGGAUCUGAGUUCAAAUUCCAUCUCUUCUGCUUACAAUUUAGACCUUAGGAAGUUCCUGAAUCCCUGAGGCUCAGAGUCUUCAUUUGAAAAUCAGGAAAAAGAAUAACAUGUUUAUGGAUUGUUUCAACAAUCAAAUGAGGAGAUGGGUGUAGAAGCUCUCCACACUGCACCUACUCACAGCAGCCAUUAAUAUUGUUAGUUUCCUUUGUCGUGAGCCAAGAAGGCUUGGGCGGUUGCUGCCAUUGGUGCUGGCCCAGGUCUCUCUUAGUGGUUGGUACCACAGUGCCAGCUGCUGAGUGCAGGGCUAAAGCUGGGACUCUCUGCAGAACUGCCCUUCAUCAGUAGGGCACCUGGAUAGGGCCUCAUUGAAGGCUGUACCCCCACUCUGCCCCUGGGGGUUUUCAACGACCGACCACUUUAAGUACAAAUGCUAAGGCCCUUGACUCAAGAAGGGCAACUCUGGGUGUGAUUUAAGCCAGAGAACUACCCCCUCCCCACCUCUCCCACCGACAAUGGUUCAGGCCAAGGCUGAGCUGCCCUGCUACCCCUUCAUCCUCCCUUUGCAGCCCCUCCCCGGCCCUGUCCUGCUUCUCUCCCUCUUUUAUAGAUAUCCCCUGAGAGCUCUCCCUCAAUAAAACACAGGCUCUGGAGUCCUCACCUCAGGCUCUGCUUCUAGGAGCCCCACCUAUGACACCCAGGAACUUGAGGGGCACCAUUUCCUUCACAAUGCAUUAAUGGCACAAAGGAUAACUUUUUUUUUUUUUUUUUGAAGCUGUGCUCUCUAACCACUGGAGUGUGAAAGCAUCCCAGAUGAAGGCAUUUUCUACACAUUCUGUGUUUGAUUAAACCUAUGGAGUCUCUCGAUAUUACUGUGUUCAGCCUGCUUCAAACUAACCACCUGGUGGAAACUGAGGUGAAAUCCAUGAGGCUUUGGGGAGUGUUCAGAAGAGAGCUGACAAAGGCAAACCUCCAGUCCAACUAUUGAUGAAAGAUGCUGACAGAUACCCCAGUAAAGGAGUCCUAGGGGAGGCUGGGAGAGGAAAAUGUUACUAACGCUGCUGUUGCACACACAAGGGCCCAUGGGAAGCUUAAUCACUUAGUUGAGGUUCCACAGCAAAAAUUGGAAAGGCUCUCCAAGUUGACUCACAGGCCAGGACAUAAGGACAAGAGGGAAGGAGAAGCUGGGGAGGGGGAUGGUCACAAAGUCAGAGGGAAGAGCUCCUGUUUCAUCGCACAUCCAGACCUAGAGAAAAGCAGCUAAGCCCACAGGUAGGCGAUGAUACUGUCUGCUGAUGAUGUGAAGGUGAGAUAGAGGGGAAAUAAUGAGCUUCAGCUUUGCAAAAGUAUGCAGGAGUGGGAGCUGAUCCUCACAUUUGGGUGUAUGAGGAAAUCCAACAGUCUGAAGGGCAAAUGAGAACUUCAGACUGCCCCAGUGACAAGGCCAAGGUUCUGGGGAGG
rnacentral:lncRNA from 1 species